rnacentral:lncRNA from 1 species
CUCAAAUGGAUGAAACUCUGAGCCAUUUGGUUUGACUUUGAAGUUUGUCUUGCCCUGAAGGUUGGACUAGGUGAUCUCUACAGAACUUUCCACCAGAAUGAUUUGUGGUUCUCAUCCCAAGACAUGUGGUCAAGUUCCCUGGAAUGGUGGGAGAGGGUUGUCUGAUAAAUGCUGUCCAGUAAAUAUAUUCUCUUGCCUUCUGCGAUGCAAAAUUACUUUCCUGCUUGUCUUCCCAUCGAAGAAAUGCCUCUGCAGUGGGUUUGGAUGGCAAAUCUCACCUGGAAACUGUUGCUAA